rnacentral:rRNA from 1 species
AUUGAACGCUGGCGGCAUGCCUUACACAUGCAAGUCGAACGGCAGCACGGGAGCAAUCCUGGUGGCGAGUGGCGAACGGGUGAGUAAUAUAUCGGAACGUGCCCAGUCGUGGGGGAUAACGCAGCGAAAGCUGUGCUAAUACCGCAUACGAUCUAAGGAUGAAAGCGGGGGAUCGCAAGACCUCGCGCGAUUGGAGCGGCCGAUAUCAGAUAAGCUAGUUGGUGGGGUAAAGGCCCACCAAGGCGACGAUCUGUAGCUGAUCUGAGAGGACGACCAGCCACACGGGAACUGAGACACGGUCCAGACUCCUACGGGAGGCAGCAGUGGGGAAUUUUGGACAGUGGGCGCAAGCCUGAUCCAGCAAUGCCGCGUGCAGGAUGAAGGCCUUCGGGUUGUAAACUGCUUUUGUACGGAACGAAACGGCCCUUUCUAAUACAGGGGGCUAAUGACGGUACCGUAAGAAUAAGCACCGGCUAACUACGUGCCAGCCGCCGCAGUAAGAC